UUAAUGGAGAGUUUGAUCCUGGCUCAGGACGAACGCUGGCGGCGUGCCUAAUACAUGCAAGUCGAGCGGAGUUUGAAAGAAGCUUGCUUCUU
rnacentral:rRNA from 1 species